UUAUUGUUCACACAGUUCACAAAGAGUAAUUUAUUAAUACAUUUAGUUACCAAGUAACUGACUCGAUUAAUUAACAAAAAUAACGAGUAACGAGUCUAGAAGGAUCGAAACACGUUAUACGCCAUAUUAGAUAUCGACCUUUGUUUGCACCAACUUCAAGCGUUAGCAUCGUUUCUCUACUUUUGUCGCGUUGUGCUCUGUCUUUCCCUGUCCGUGGUCGGUAUUCCUUUAGUCUCCGGAUCCAAAAAAAUCAUUUAUUUUUGUGCAUUAAAUUUAUUGUUCUGUGCCAUUGGUCAACGUGAACGUGGAAGGAACCACUUUGCG